AUGCUUAACCAACUGAGCCAAGGGGUCACCCCUCAGAGUCAUUUUCGAGGGCUACAUGAGAUCACGGAAAAGGACUCAGCACUUCUCCUGACUUUUAACCUCAGCUUCCAGAAAGUACGUGGAUCAAGUCAGCGCCACCCCAGUCCUGCCACAGUGAAUUAGGACAUGGUUACCGGAGAAAUGCCCAGCAGAGCAGCCCU
rnacentral:lncRNA from 1 species